rnacentral:lncRNA from 1 species
AUGGAGGGCGAUAAGAGAAGAACCAAAGAAGAUACUUGGAAAUCAGAAGAACUUAAGAAACAUCUUAGGGCAUCGCAACUGGAGGGUCAAAAUGAAGACAAAAAGCACAGAGAAAAGCAACUGCAGAAAGAGAAGGCUGUUGAUGACACAGGCACUCAUAAAGAUGAACGCAAAGACAGAGGGAAGAGCAAGGAAAGAACAAGAGAGAGAGAGAGAUUUAAAUCUGUUGAAAGAGACAAAGAUAAAAUGAGAGAGAGAGAAAGGGGAAAAGAACAUCACAGAGAACGUGACAGAGAGAGACACCGAGAUAAGCUUCGAGAGCCAAGUUUGGAUAAGGAAAGAUACAGUGUACCGAAAGAUAAAGACAGGGAGAGUGAUAGAGAACGUGAUAAAAAGCAUAAAAGACAUGAGAUAAAGCAAACAGACCUGCAAAAUAAUCUGAAACCAUCUGAAGGAAGAGAGAAAGAACAUUAUAGAAAAAGAGAAAAAAGCAGACAUCGUUUGGGUAUGUUGCUUUGUGUUGCUCUUUUACUUUGAAAUAUUUGAUAUUUAGGUAGAAGUACUGUGCAGCUGUACAGAGAGGAUGAACACAGGCAGGUUGGAGUAACUACUGAAAUAUAAAUCCUUACAGAAUCCUGUCAUAACUUAGUUUUAUUUUGGUGCUUUUUUGAAUGUUGAUGCUGGUUUCCUUUCCUCUGAAGAGAUAGUGAAUUUCACUGCUAUUGUUGGUCAGUUGACUUGAAAAGAAUAAGUACCUUCCUGCCCAGGCGUUGUCUACUGAGUGAUCAGUUUGAAUCCCAAAGUUGCAGGGUUAUUGCUGAAGUUAGUAGCAUGUGUCAUUUCUCUUACCAUUACAAAAGACAAUUUAAAGCAGAUGGGUUCACCAGGAAGGAAACAGGAAUAGCCAGUUUUGGAGAGAGAAUUUCAAAUGAACAAUCUGUUAUUAUAGAAAGCUAUUAUGUUUUAGAAAUCAAUAUCCCUGAAAUGCUCUUUUCUAGUCUGGAGCUAAUUACGUACAGAGUUUGAAUAUAAUAAAGUCUGCUCAUUAAUUUUUAUAUAUAUUUUU